rnacentral:rRNA from 1 species
ACAUUUCUAAACUGUCCCUUCUCUCCAGACCUGGCCUUUAAGCCAUGCACGCAGAAAUACACACGGCUGGUACAGUGAAACUGCAAAUGACUCAUUAAAUCAGUAAUGGUUCCUUUGAUCUCUUUAUCUGUUACUUGGAUAACUGUGAUAAUUCUAAAGGUAAUACAUGCCGAUGAGCGCUGACCUCCCAAGAUGUGUGCAUUUAUCAGACCAACACCAAUCCGGGGUUGCCCAGCCGCUUUGGUGACUCUAGAUAACCUCUGGCCGUUCUCAUGUCCCCUUGAUGGCGACAUUGCAUUUGGAUGUCUGCCCUGUCAACUUUCAUUGGUACUUUCUGUGCCUACCAUGGUGACCACAGGUUAAAGGGGAAUCAGGGUUUGAUUCCGGAGAGGGAGCCUGAGAAACGAUUACCACAUCCAAGGAAGGCAGCUGGUGUGCAAAUACCCACUCCCGACUUAGGGAGUUAGUGACAAAUACUAACGAGGAUCCAUUGGAGAACAAGACUGGUGCCAGCAGCUGUGGUAAUUCCAGAGUAUAUGAAAGUUUCUGCCGUUGGAUCUUGGGAUCGAGCAGGAAGUGCACCGUGAGGUGAGCUACCACCUUUCCCAGCACCUGCCGCUCGGCGCCACCUUGAUGCUUUUGACUGAGUGACCUGGGGGUCCGAAGUAUUUACUUUGAAAAAAUUAGAGUGUUCAAAGAAGGCCGGUCGCUUGAAUCCUUCAGCUAGGAAUAAUGGAAUAAGACUCAGUUUCUAUUUUGUUGGUUUUCGGGAACCGAGGCCAUGAUGAAGAGGGACGGCCGGGAGCAUUCGUAUUGUGCCGCUAGAGGAGAAAUUCUUUGACCGGCGCAAGACGAACCAAAGAAAAAGCAUUUGCCAAGAAUGUUUUCAUUAAUCAAGAAAGAAAUUCAGAGUUUCGAAGAUGAUCAGAUUCCGUCGUAGUUCCCACCAAAAACAAUGCCGACUAGCGAUCCAGCUGCAUUAUUCCCAUGACCUGCUGAGCAGCUUCAGGGAAACCAAAGUCUUUGGGUUCUGGGGUAGUAUCGUUGCAAAGCUGAAACCUAAAGGAAUUGAUGGAAGGGCACCACCAGGAGUGGAGCAUGCAGCUUCAUUUGACUCAACACGGGAGACCUCUCCCGGCCUGGACACUAAAACGAUUGACAGAUUGAUAGCUCUUUCUCGGUUCUGUGGGUGGUGGUGAAUGGAUGUUCUUAGUUGGUGGAGCAAUUUAUCUGGUUAAUUCUGACAAUGAACAAUACUCUUCCAUGUUAACUAGUUACGUGACCCACAGCAAUCGGCGUUCAACUUCUUAGAGGGACAAGUGGCGUUCAGCCACACGAGAUCGAGCAGUAACAGGUCUGUGAUGCCUUUAGAUAUCUGGGGCUGCACGAGAGCUUCGCUGAAUUGAUCAGAGUGUGCUUACCCUUACCCGACAUGUGCAGGUAACCUGCUGAACCCCAUUCAUGAGAGGGAUUGGGGAUUGCAAUUAUUUACCAUGAAAAAGAAUUCCCAGUAAGUGUGGGACAUAAGCUCACGUUGAUUAAGUCCCUGCCCUUUGCACACACUGCCCGUUGCUAUUACCCAUUGCAUGGUUUAGAGAGGUGAUCGGAUUGGCCCAUCCGGGGUCAGCAACAGCCCUGGUAGAGCGCUGAGAAGACGAUCAAACUUCACUAUUUAGAGGAAGUAAAAGCUGUAACAAGGUUUCCAUAGGUGAACCUGUAGAAG